GACGAACGCUGGCGGCGUGCUUAACACAUGCAAGUCGAACGGAAAGGCCCUGCUUUUGUUGGGUGCUCGAGUGGCGAACGGGUGAGUAACACGUGAGUAACCUGCCCUUGACUUUGGGAUAACUUCAGGAAACUGGGGCUAAUACCGGAUAGGAGCUCCUGCUGCAUGGUGGGGGUUGGAAAGUUUCGGCGGUUGGGGAUGGACUCGCGGCUUAUCAGCUUGUUGGUGGGGUAGUGGCUUACCAAGGCUUUGACGGGUAGCCGGCCUGAGAGGGUGACCGGCCACAUUGGGACUGAGAUACGGCCCCACCUCCUACGGGAGGCAGCAGUGGGGAAUAUUGCACAAUGGGCGGAAGCCUGAUGCAGCAACGCCGCGUGCGGGAUGACGGCCUUCGGGUUGUAAACCGCUUUCGCCUGUGACGAAGCGUGAGUGACGGUAAUGGGUAAAGAAGCACCGGCUAACUACGUG
rnacentral:rRNA from 1 species